rnacentral:rRNA from 1 species
AUACAGAGGGUGCGAGCGUUAAUCGGAAUUACUGGGCGUAAAGCGCGCGUAGGUGGUUAUGUAAGUUGGAUGUGAAAGCCCCGGGCUUAACCUGGGAAUUGCAUUCAAAACUGCAUGGCUAGAGUCUGAUAGAGGGAAGUGGAAUUUCCGGUGUAGCGGUGAAAUGCGUAGAUAUCGGAAGGAACAUCAGUGGCGAAGGCGACUUCCUGGAUCAAGACUGACGCUGAGGUGCGAAAGCGUGGGGAGCAAACAGGAUUAGAAACCCCGGUAGUCC